rnacentral:rRNA from 1 species
AGUGAACGCUGGCGGUAGGCCUAACACAUGCCAGUCGAACGGCAGCACAGUAAGAGCUUGCUCUUACGGGUGGCGAGUGGCGGACGGGUGAGGAAUACAUCGGAAUCUACUUUUUCGUGGGGGAUAACGUAGGGAAACUUACGCUAAUACCGCAUACGACCUACGGGUGAAAGCAGGGGAUCUUCGGACCUUGCGCGAUUGAAUGAGCCGAUGUCGGAUUAGCUAGUUGGCGGGGUAAAGGCCCACCAAGGCGACGAUCCGUAGCUGGUCUGAGAGGAUGAUCAGCCACACUGGAACUGAGACACGGUCCAGACUCCUACGGGAGGCAGCAGUGGGGAAUAUUGGACAAUGGGCGCAAGCCUGAUGCAGCCAUACCGCGUGGGUGAAGAAGGCCUUCGGGUUGUAAAGCCCUUUUGUUGGGAAAGAAAAGCAGCAGGUUAAUACCCCGCUGUUCUGACGGUACCCAAAGAAUAAGCACCGGCUAACUUCGUG